AAUGGAUCAAAGAAGUCUAUUUCUGUCUAUCCUUUCUCUGUCUCUCUGUCUCUGUCUGUCUCUCUGAGGGUGUCUUUUGUGUGUCAUAUAAACACGUUCACAUGUGUGUGUGCAUGAAUGUAUGAGUGAGUGUGGGGAGGCCAGAGGUCAAUGUUGGGUGUAUUUGAUUACUCUUUGUGUUAUAUUUUGACACAGGGUCUCUCCCCUGAUCCUGGAGCUCCUUGUUUUGGCUGGGUUGGGUGGCCAAUGAACUCCAAGGAUUAGCCUAUUUCUGCACCCUUCAGCCUCAGUGCUGGGUGACGGAUGCCAUGCCCAGGUUUUAUAUGGAUGCUUGGCAUCCCAACACAGGACAUUGUUGAAGGCUCAAGGGUAUGAAACUCACUUCAGGAAAAUAUGCACAGAAAUGACGACCUGCUCCUUAGCUUUGUCUCUAAAUAGGACAGCUUUGAAUAGAGCAUCUGCUGAGAGUAGGAGGUAUGUCUGCCUUCAGAUGCUCGAUGAAGCCUAUGUGUGCUCUGUUAAACUUGGCCUGAGUGCAAGCCUAGCUGAGUUUUUCUUACUUCCUGCUUUCCUCCAGUGACUGAAGUCUAGUCCCUGCUUGCUCACUUGAAGAGAUGCUAGAAACAGGCACACACAGGUGCUGACCACCUUGCCAGCUCUGCUUCUCUUCCACAUUCAAGCUUCUCCCUGAAUGGAAAACCACAAGAAUGACGAUCUAAUUGAGUCUGCGCUGGCUGGCUCCCUGCCCACUGCUAACUAGUUUGAUUCAGUUUUUCCAUUGUUGAUAACAAAACACAGGCACUGGAGACUGACUUGACUGGAGCAAUGGAGAAAGAAGAAGCAACAGGCACUCAGACUGGGAUCAGGUUUUUACCUCUUCCUGAAUCAUCUAUACUCACUUCAUCAUGGUCUCCUCUGUAGUCUGGCUCCAUAGAAAUCUCCAGCUGCUCGGAAUGUGCUAUUCUCACCACUUCAAGACCAACAGGGACUGAGAGGAGAGGCUGGUGUCUACCAUGCUGGUGCUUAAAGUUCAACUGCCAGCUGCCCGAAUUUCUCCAGCCCACAGAAUUCCACUGCUCUUCUGUUAGGAAGAAAAGGAUUACAGGAUUAGUUUCUUAACACCACUUCCAGCCUUCCAUAUAUAGUCAGAGGAAGUAACUCACCAUGACUUCUAUGACAACUUUUGGUGUUCAGGCCAGAUUCCCCACUCAGACAUCUGUCUGUAGAGGGACAGCCGAGGUCUCAACCAUGUAGGUGGGGUCAAGGGAUAUAUUGUUACAGCUGAGAGCUUUAGGGUUUUAUAUCCCUUUUAGACGUGCCACAAACAACAACCAUAGCAAGGGAACAAGGCACAGAACAGUUGUUCAAGUUAGAAAGUCAGUAGCAUGGGGACACAGGAAGUACGUUCUCUGUGAGUAGGGUAAAGAGUCCUUGAAGUAAGCAGAACCACAGAUCAAAACAGGAGUGUCUGACUCUGCCCACAGCUAGCCCUGUUUUUAACUGCCAGGAGAAAACAAAUGGAAUGCAUUUAUCAGAAUCCUGGCUCUUUCAAGGUUCAAUCACUUCAAGAUACCACCCCUAAAGCAUUUAUCAUGGUUGCUGACAAUCCUAUCCUGGCAUUUCCAGGGCAUCUGCAGAAGUGCACAUUUUCCUUCCAACACUGGCCUUCUAAAGGAAAACCUAAGAUCUCUACCUAUGUCUACCCGUCAAGAUUUUAUAGACUGGUAGUUAGUAUGACACUUAUAUAAGUAUUUUGAGACUUAGAUCUGCAAAGGAUAGACGAGUUUGAUGGAAUGUGCAUAAUAAUGACAGAAUAUACCAUUUGAGGAACUGUGAAGAAUGGAAAAAAGACUGGACUGAGAAGGCUGGGUACAGUCUCCUGUUUCUAGGAACCAUUAAAUCUGGACAGAAGCUUGGGCUGGGUCUUUGGCUUUCUGCUGACCCUUGGGGAAGAAAUGGGGACAUGAGCCUAGGGCUAAGUGUGGGGCCAAUCAGUCCCCUGUGGUUCCAGAUGGUCCAGCAGAGAGACUGGGAGAAACGGAAGUUAGAAAAGGCAGACUAGGAGGGUGACUUCAACUGUAAAGCACUUACCCCUUUUGCAAGCAUGAGUUCAGUCCCCAGAGUCCAUAUCAAAGUAGGAGGUGUGAUAGCAUGUUCUUGUAAACCCAGGACUGAGAAGGCAGAAAUAAAAGAUCACUGAAGCU